CCCAGCAGGUGCUCCGGGUCGCCCCUCCGGCCGCCGGGCUCCGUGACCCCAGGACUCCACGCGCCCCUCGCAGCCGUCCGCUGGGGUUUCCGAGCCACCCCCGACCCGCGCGGGUGACAUGCAGGCACUCGCCUGGCCUCCUCAAGACGCGCCGCUCACAAGACAGGUCCCGGGGCCUUCCGCUGCGCUGGCGCCGCGCUAAUGACGCAGGAGGCGGCCCGACCGGACUGGGCCUGUGGAGGCUGCGGCUGCAAGGCAGUGUCUGCGAAAGUGUCGGGGCUAUCCUUCCAUCUCUUACUUCCAGAAACAACCUGUGCAGAGAGUGGCAGCUCGUGACAAGGAGGGAACUGAGGCCUGGAUGGGUCUCAGUUGAUGCAAAGGAAGGAAUUGUGCGUCCUAUAUAAGGGCAGCAAUUGCUCCAUUUACUGAGCGUUAAGCUUCCUUCAAUCUCUUUCCCCCCAUUGCCUCCUUUUAUCUUUUUUUUGUGUUGUGAGGUAAGUCUGUUCUUAUACCCCAUUUACAGAUACGGUGUCUGAGACCCAGGGCCGACUUUUCUUGCGCACGGCAGAGAAGUGGUCGAGACAGAAUUGGAACCUAGGUUUGUGGUCUUUAUACCAGGAACCUGUCGAACGAUCUUACAGGAGCUUUAGCUCAUUACCUGUUGAUUGUUCUUUAUUUGCUCACUUUAUUUACUGAGCACCACUGCGCAGGGCUUCCCAGUCCCUAGAGAAAGGAGGACAUGGCAUGGCACCUGCGUAUGGACCUUUCUGGAGAAGUAAGCAGACAAUAAACGGAAUAAUACAGUGUGGUGUUAAGAAGAAAAUGAAAAGGAUGCCGAGCCCUCAUGAUAAGUGUAAACCUGUGCCUGUGUGCUUCCAAUGAAAAGUGAAUAGAAGAGGUGUGCACAUGUUCCAGGCCUGGUCCAUAACAACCUUCAACAGGUGCUCCUCUAGCCUCUUUCUCUGCCAGCUGGAAGCAAAUGACCACCAGAUUCUGGAAAAGACAAAACUCCUCAAGACUGAAGAUUCCUGAGUGGAGAACCUAUCUCGCCAACCUGCAUGUCCACUCAGAACUGUUAUUUUCAAAGGAAAAAAAACUAAUAAUAAUAAUCUUCUGUAGUGUUGAGGUUUUUAUUUAAUUUGACUCUUUUUGUUAUAGCAGCUUUGCCUAUCCUGCCUAAUGUGAAUAAGAACAGUGAACAUUAGGAGAAAAUUUCUAAGUGACUUCAAUUGACAUUAUUCAUAACAGGAAAUAGAAGGUGGCCUUGAUUCACUCGAUCAUUCCAGAAGGAAUUUUCAGAUUCCUGCCUGUGCCAGGCACUGUGCUACAUAAUCAAUACAUAAGGUGAAUAAUAAACCCUCAAACAGAACUUAAUCUAGCUGCUCAACUUACUGAUUUAUUUGCACCUGCUUUUCCUCUACUAGAAACUCCACUUUUCUAUGCCAAAACACACAGCCCAAUUUCUACUCUUUCUUCAGCCUCAUUCUGAAUACUGAUUUUUUUCCAGACAUACCUAGCCUUUACCUUUCUUUCCUAGUAUAAAUCAGAUGUUUCUAUUUUAAUCUCAUAACGUAUUUCCUUGUGCUUAUUACAAUUUUUAUUGAUAUAUUUGUUUUUUAAUGUUUAGUGACCUUCUCCCCCACUAGAUUGUGAAUAAUAUCAACUGGGAAAGAAUCUUAUCUGUCUUAUUUGUCAUAUCUCCAACACCCAGCCCAUUGCAGGUACUUAAUAUUUGUUUAAGUAUUCAGUGAAUGGAGAAGGCAGAGCCCAAAGGAAGGAGAGGUUAUCUUUCAGUGAAGUUCAUUCACUUUUUGCUUGUUAGGUAGGCAGCCAAAUACCCUCCCAUGAUAUUCAUUUCCUGGUGUAAUUUCCUCACCAUGCAUGUGGAAUGGUUCUAGUGGCUUGCUUUUAGUGCUUAGGUAUCUUGUCCAAGAUUAGUUUACAGGAAGACUAUGGCUUCUAUCUUUUGUCUUAGGUAUUCUUUCUUUCUUUCUUAUUUGCUCUGAGGGAAGCCAGCUCACCUAUGCACUACAGUUUUGUUUUGUACUGGAGAUUGGACCCUGGAGUACUCUAUCACUGAGCUACACCAGUAGCCCUUUUUUAUUUAUUUUAUGACAGGCUCUUGCUAAGUUGCUAAGGCUGGCUUCAAACUUGUGAUCCUCUUGUGUCAGCCUCCUGGGUCUCUGAGAUUACAGGUAUGCACCAUCUAACCCAGUCUUCGAGAUGCAUUAGUAGUUUCCUAAGGCUGCUACGACAAAUUAUCACAAAGUGGUGCCUUAAAACAGCACUGUUUUAGAAGCUAGAAGUCUAAAAUUGAGGUGUUGACAGAGCCAUGCUCCCUUUAAGGAAGACUUCUUCCCUCUGGUGACUCCAGGCAAUCUUUGGCAUUCUCUGGCUUGUUGCUGCAAUCUCUGCCUCUAUCUCUACUUGGUACUCUUUGUUUUUCUCUCUGUGUCUCUUUUUAUAAGGAUACCAGUCAUUGGAUUUAAGGCCCAUCUUAGUUAAGUAUGAUGUCAAAUUAAUCACAGCUCGAAAUACCCAGUUUACAAAUAGAAUCAUAUUCUGAGCUUCUGGGUAGACAUGAAUUUAGGACAUUAUUUUCAGUCUACCAGUGUUGCCCUGUGGAAGGGCCCACCAGCUGCCGGAGAACCAGUGGCCUGCCCACUAGCCAGGUGAGUGAGCUUAGAAAGAACCCUUCCUGAGUUGAGCCUUUGGGGACUGUGGCCAAAUGGGAGACCCUGAGCCAGAAGAUCUAGCUAAGCCCUGCCCAGUUUCCCCCUCACCCCUCACCCACAGAAACAGAUUAAAAAUGGUCAUUUCAGUAUUGGGGAUAUAGCUAAGUGGCAAGUGCAUGCUGGCAUGUGCAAGGCCCAAGGUUCAAUCCUCAGCAACAACAGAGUUGUUUUACAGUUUAAAUUUGGGGGUAACAUGCCAUGCAAUAUAUAAUUUGGUACCUAGAAAUGGUAAUAUCAUAACAACCCCCUGAAAUAUGGUAGUUUUGGAACCAGGUGGUAGACAGAGACUGGACAGAUUUUUGAGGACUAUAAUAGAGAAAACCUGAAUUGUCUUGGACAAAUCUGGUAAAAAAAUAAGGAUACUGCCAGUAAGUAAAAUGUUAUUGCAAACUGGAGGAAAGAUCACUAUGUGGUUUCUUCUGCUUAUAAUAAAAUGUGAAAAGAUAA